rnacentral:lncRNA from 1 species
UCUUUCUCUGUCAGACUGACUUCACUUAGUAUGAUCAUUUCUGUUCCUGCAGAUGACAAAAUUUUAUUCUUUUUAUGACUGUCAUACUCCAUUAUACAUAUAUACUAUAUAAUAUAUAUUGCAUCUUCUUUAUUCAUAUGCGUUCUUAACCCUGCAACUCUGGCUAAAGCCAGGGGCUGACCUGUCACAUCAGUGUUCAGCUGUAUCCGCCCACCUCACGGUAGGGACAGAGUGAAAUGUAAUUCAAAGACCUUCAUUGUCCACAAGGCUGCUGUGUAUAAUCCUAUUCUUGGAGAAACUCACACAAGUGUGGGAAGAGUAAGGGAAGGCCUGUGGACUGUGGUUAUCCUAUUUAUUAUUGAACAUGUUUUUCAAAAUGUGUUUGGUUUUCAGUAAGCAUUGGGUGUAUUUGUUAGAAUGCUUUGGAUGCACGUCAUAGAACAUCCAAUUUGUUGUAGCUCAAACAAUAAGAAACCUUGUGACAGAGCAAUGCAGGGUUUAAUUCAGGAAUAAACAAUAUCAGCAAAGCCUGUGGUACUUUCUGUAGCUCAGUUUUACCAUCUUCCAUCCAUCACGUGACUCCUGUUAUGGUCAGAACAUGGCUGCAGCAGCAUCGGAUGACAGCUCUAAACACAGCAAUAUGUAGUGAAGAGGAGAGAAGUUUCCCUCUGUGUCUUAAUUGUUCUGAGUGAGGAAAUUACCAUAAGCUCCCCCCCAGGACUUCUCAUCAGGUCCUGUUAGCUGGAUUUAGUCACGUACUUAUUCCUAACUCAAUACCUGCAGAGGGAAUAAAUCCAUUGUGAUUGCCUUAAACCAGUCAUAAUUCACUCCCUGGGGUCCAUAGAGCCUGUGACCUAUCCUGCACUCAUGAGAAGGUGACCCCAGGACAAAAAUCAAGCCUCGAGGAAACAGAUGCUUAGGGUUGGCAAGCAACUCUCACAACAGGGUUCAAGGGUACAUUUGGCAGGAGAAGGAAACUGGUCAUAAAUGACGGGCUUUUGCUAUUAAAGAAUAAACCAGUCUUGACCUCCCAAUGAUGAAAGAUAAAGCCAUCAAACAGUUUGAUUUCCAAGAGGUUUUCCAAAGCCUAGCUAGCGAAUUCACUUAUUUACUCACUCAAGUUAGCAAGGCUUUUGUGUCUAUAAAACACCAUUAAAAUUCCAAAGCAAAUUUCCGAAUUCUAAGUAGCGUCUUUACCUGUGGACAAGACCUCCAACAUUUCAUGAGAACCUUUAUUUUAAAACAUAAAUAGGAGUUCCCAUUGUGGCGCAGUGGCUAACAAAUCCGACUAGGAACCAUGAGGUUGCGGGUUCAGUCCCUGCCCUUGCUCAGUGGGUUAACGAUCCGGCGUUGCCCUGAGCUGUGGUGUAGGUCGCAGACGUGGCUCGGAUCCCAUGUUGCUGUGGCUCUGGUGUAGGCCGGUGGCUACAGCUCUGAUUGGACCCCUAGCCUGGGAAUCUCCAUAUGCCAAGAGAGCGGCCCUAGAAAAGGCAAAAAGACAAAAAUAAAAAAUAAAUAAAUUUCAGAAGAAUUUUUUUUUUUUUUUUUUAGGGCCACAUCCACAGCAUAGUUGCCAGGCUAGAGGCCAAAUCAGAGCUGCAGCUGUUGGCCUACACCACAGCCACAGCAACAUCACAUCUGAGCUGCAUCUGCGACCUACACCACAGCUCGCCCCAACACCAGAUCCUUCACCCACUGAGCCAUGCCAGGGAUUGGACCUGCAUCCUCAUGGAUACUAGUCAGUUUCGUUACUGCUGAAUCCCAGUAGGAACUCCUCCCCAAAAUUUUUUGUAACUAGAGUGGUGAUAGGUGUUUACUAGGCUUAUUGUGGUGAUUAUUUCACAAAUUAUACAAAUAUUGAAUCUUGUGUUAUACACCUGAAACUAACAUAACAUUAUAUCUCAAUAAAAAUGUCAAAUUUUAAUGUUUGAAAAUGAUCUCUGCAGUAUAAAACAAUAGCCCUAAAUUUCUAGAUUUCAUAUCAUUUUCUCAAAUAUCAAAUUUUCAAAAGGCAGAACACACUUCCUGAAAUCCACAAAACAAACGCUGGACUAGGUAAAUAUAGUUUAUCUCUUUUGCCAACCUUGUCUUUUUUUUUUUACAGCUACCUGCAACUGCAUAUGGAAAUUCCUGGGCUGGGGGUCAAAUCAGAGCUGUAGCUGAGGCCUACGCCAAAGCCACAACAACACAGCAUCUGAGUUGCCCCUGUCACCUGUGGUGCAACUUGUGUCAACACUGGAUCCUUAACCCGCUGAGCAAGGCCAGGGAUCAAACCCUCAUCCUCACAGAGACAAUGUCAGGUCCUUAACCUGCUGUGCCACAGCAGGAACUCCCAAGCUUGUCUUAAUACUGAAAGGCCAGUAAAAGAACAAUCCCCCUCGUCCGGGCUCGGAAGAGGCGACACCCCAAAUCACUCACGAGAAGCGGUCUUGAUGCAAACAGCAAGAGGAUUUUUAUUCCAAGCGCGCUGGGGCCCACAGUCGUACGCCACGCAGGGGUAGAGGACUGCGGCCCCGAGUGCGGAAUCGGGACAGCUUUUAUGGGGUUCACAACAAAGCCUGUGCGUCGCAAACCAAUCAUUUUAAAAUAUCGAGAGCCCGCGCUCUGUGGACCAAUCAUUUUAAAAUAUCGAGAGCCCGCGCUCCGUGGACCAAUCAUUUUAAAAUAUCAAGAGCCCGCGCUCCGUGGACCAAUCAUUUUAAAAUAGCUCCGGAGGUCCGCAUCUGCGUGGGCUCCUGGGCAGAGUGACAGAUUGCAGCUGAGAUAGGUCACUAGGCCUUUCAAUGUGUAAUCAAUUCUUCUAUGGUGCCAGUCAGUUUUACAGAAUCCAGAUAAGCGAUUAGUCAACUCAUUUCCUGUUAUCUUACUUAGGCCAGGAUAGCAGGCCCUGGAACAAUAGGAAGUGUGACCUUCUACCUAUUUACUGGCAGCCAGCAGGGUCUGGAAUUCGGGGGCAUUUAGAGCUUUUUAUUAACUUCCUGGGUUCUGGGAGGGUUAGGUUGCAUUUUCAUCCUUUCAAAACCUCCCUGUUUUUUUAUCUUUAAUACAUUAAAAAGUUGGAAUCUCAAGUUAGCGGGAAUAAAGAACUUCUUGGAGAUUUUUAUUGAGGUAAUUACAAAUUCACAUGCAGUUAUCAAAAAUAAAACAGAGGAGUUCCCGUCGUGGCGCAGCGGUUAACGAAUCCGACUAGGAACCAUGAGGUUGCGGGUUCGGUCCCUGCCCUUGCUCAGUGGGUUAACGAUCCGGCACUGCCGUGAGCUGUGGUGUAUGUAGGUUGCAGACGCGGCUCGGAUCCCACGUUGCUGUGUCUCUGGCGUAGGCUGGUGGCUACAGCUCCGAUUCAACCCCUAGCCUGGGAACCUCCAUAUGCCACGGGAGCGGCCCAAAGAAAUAGCAA